CAUCCUGCUGCAUAAACGGGCCAGCAGGGCAGUGGGUGGUGUCCAGCAGGCCAGCAGCAGUGCCAAGGCUCGGCCUGCAGGAGCAGGGCUGCUCACAGCAGCGAUCUACAGGGAAUGUCGCUUACGCUCUCGACAAGGCAUGCACGCGUCCACGUCUGCAUACACAGGGGUUACAUUCUUCUAUAUAUAAGCAGGUUUUGUGUCUCUGGUUUGCUGCUGGGCCCUUGAACAGCUCCUUCCGGGCAAAUCCUCCUUCUCACAUCGCCCAAAGCACUUCCAGCAUCUCCCACUUCUUUCUUUCUCUCCACUCCUCACAGCUGCUGCUCAGGCUCUGGAUUCCCUGGAGGAAAAGGGGAAACAAUUUUCUCCAAGGGCACAGGGUUUGUUCCAGCCUAAGAAAGCAAAAAAAAAAAUGGGGUUGGGUGUUAAUUAUGUUGAUGCAUUUGGUACAAUAAAAGCUUCUUUUAAAUUUAUGCUUGAACCCUCCUACUAAAUUUAUGGACAGGAAGAGGAGUGGAGUUUAUGGGGAAGAGGGUUUGUGGCUCAGACAGGAGAUGAUGCCUUUGGCCCUGGGUAUUGCAGAUUUCUGGGAGCUUUCUCCCUUGCAAGGCUCCUUUUGGGUGCUCCAUCUUCAUUUACAUCGCAUUAACAAAAACGUGAACUUUUAGGGAAGUCAUUCAAUUUGUUCCAGGUAGGCAGUGGGGUGCACGGAGUAUCACAGGAGACUGCAAGAACUCACUCAUUCCUGCCUCUGCCACUGAUUAGAUUUGUGGCCUUGGGCAAACACUGCUUUCAGUUCUGCUGCAAAAUGAGGGCACUAAUAACUUCUUUGCCUCACAGGUGGGCUGCGAGCCUUAAUUAAUAAAGUGCUCAGAGAAAGGCACCCAUCUAAGUGCAAAUUAGCAGGAGAGGUGCCCGAGGGGCAUCUGCGAUGAAAUUCCCAUUUCCCAGCGUUUGUCCCCCAGUUUGUUGACAGCAGCCCUGGCUGGGGCAGAUGCCAUGGAUGUCUCGUUGGCAGGCUGUGACAAUGAGAGAUCCCAGAAAAACCCGCACGGAGAUAACUCUGCCGGCCGGGAUGAGGUGAUUUCACCGCUGGGAGAGGGGGAGUCGCUGACGGUGCAACUGCAGAGCCAUGAGGUCACAGGCUCAUCAGGGCUGGCCAGCGGCUCCGGGGCAGAUGCUGAGCUGCCUUCCCCUGUCCUGCCCUGCUCAUGCCAGCGGGAAGGUAGCAGGAGGCAGCCUUGGGAUGGGCUGAACCCCCCGGGACACAGGGGAGUUGUGGUGCUGCCACGGCCUGUGAGCAGAAUCACAGAGUGUCCCGAGUGGGAAUGGACCCACAGGGAUCAUCAGUCCAGCUCCUGACUCCAGGACAGCUCAGCAAUCCCACCCUGUGCCUGAGAGCAAAUCGGGGCUGUGACCUCUCCCUGUUCCAGCCACCUGGAAUGUCUCUGGUUCCUCCUCUGCUUUAUCCCAGUUCCUGCCAGCUGCCCACAGGAUGUGGCAAUUCCAGCCUCUCCCCUCAUUCCCAGCCUUGCUUUCUUGUUUCAAGGAAUCUGAAGCAACAGUGGGAAUGGCUGGAAGGAGGAAGGCUGGGAUGAAGCACAUUUCCAGCCUGGCUGUGAUCGAGGCCGUCAGCCAGCCCCAUCCCAGGGCUGCUGCACCUCCAUGCUCCAUCUCCCACAUCCCACCUGCCCUCUGGAAGUGCUGGAGCAUCCCAAAGUGCUUCAGCAGAGCUGCCUGGCUUUUUUGGCAGAAGGGAAAUAGGAGAGGUGUUUGCUGUGUGGAGAGGGACAGACACAGCUACACAAAACCAGCAGCUGGGCACAGGGAGUCAAUGCAGAGCUGCCAGGGAUAGCCCAGGGCUUGGAAUGUGCCCCUGCUCAGCCUUCCUGAUUCCCUGUGCUCAGGGACAAGCACACAGCACCACGGGAUUCUCCAGACCUGGGGAACAUCACCAGCAGGGGAUUUGGAUCCCUCACUCCCCACACAAAUGGCAGAAUUCCCCAGAGCAGGGCACAGCUGGGGCUGUGAGUGUGGCACUGGAUAAAGCAGGAGGAUGUGGCUGCCUCCACUCCAAGAGGUGAGGUAUUUACUCAAGCUACACUGAAAUAAAGAAUUCAGGAGUUGAUUAAAGGAUUUCCUCCACAGCAAAGCCAUUUAAUCCGUAUUUAUUAUUUCUCCUGUAGCAGCACUUCCAACUGCCAGUCUCUGAACCUUUGUCCUGCUGUGCCACCAUGGCUGGCAACAGAUCAUCCGUGGUGUCACUGUAUUUUACAAACUGUCUCUCUGUGUCACUUAACGUAUAGAAAAUCUAUAAAAACCUGUAAAAGUUGAUAAAUCCUUGAACAUCUUGAACUCCAAGCAAUAAAUCUGCUCCAGGGCAGGCAAAGAGCUCAGCACAAUGUUUAUGCAUCUCACAAGUCCCAUUCUAAGGGCUUAAAUGGCUCUUAAGUUUUGCAUCAGCCUCGUGCUGGCCUUCUGCAGGAAGGUGAAUUUCAUGGAAAGAAUAGAAGAGAACCCCAGAAUUCUGGCCCUGAGCCCAUCUCUCAAUAAACCAAUUUUGAAUAUCCUAGGCUGUGUUAAAGCCAUUUCUGGGUGCAUAUUGGCUGCAUUGCCAGUAUCUGACUCAUUAAUGGAAUAUACUUUGAGCCAAUUCUGAUCUCAUUUACAGCACCGUAAAUCCAGGGCAACCCAAUUGACUCCAGUGGAGUUACUCCAAAUUUCCCACAAUAGGCACUCAGCAGACAGAGCAAAAUUUGGUACUUUGGGUCUGAAAAAGGCUGAGCAAAGCCAAACUACAUCCCAUUUGUACUGGGGUGGAUAGUAAGUUGGAAAGAGAACCAGCAUAUCCCUUCUGUAGAGCUGCUGAAAAAUUGAUUAUUUUAUGUGCCAUUCUUAAAAGGCUGAAACUUUGGGGGAAACUGUCCACAACUAUCAACAUUUUCAUUUCCUUAUAAAAUAAAAGGAAUUAUGGCUGAGUGCCUAUAUGAAAAGCGCAGUGUCUAUUGGAAACACGGAUGGGAACGAUAAGAAAAAAUUCACUUCCUCUGAGAUUGUUUCAUGGGGACUGACAUUCCCUUUGGUGAUGCAUCCCUCUGUGCCUGGGCAUUUAGGGAGAGACAGAUUUUGCUCAGAAAGUUGCUCUCAACCAUCGCACAAAUGAAGCAAUAAGGUUAUGAGACAACAAAUGGCUUUGGUUACAAAACCACCUCAGCCAACCUCGCCACAUCCCUGUGCUUUAACACGCACAGGCAGCUCCACUUCCCAAUUAUCUGGAAUUCCCCAGCCUUAUCCCACAGCUUUACAAAAAAAAAAA
ensembl:lncRNA